rnacentral:rRNA from 1 species
CCUACGGGAGGCAGCAGUGAGGAAUAUUGGUCAAUGGGCGGGAGCCUGAACCAGCCAAGUCGCGUGAGGGAAGACGGUCCUAUGGAUUGUAAACCUCUUUAGGCGGGGAGCAAUGCCGGGCACGUGUGCCCGGAGGGAGAGUACCCGCAGAAUAAGCAUCGGCUAACUCCGUGCCAGCAGCCGCGGUAAUACGGAGGAUGCGAGCGUUCUCCGGAUUUAUUGGGGUUAAGGGGUGCGUAGGCGGAUGUUUAAGUCAGCGGUAAAAUGUCCGGGCUCAACCCGGGCCGGCCGUUGAGACUGGGGAGCUUGAGUGGGCGAGAAGUAUGUGGAAUGCGUGGUGUAGCGGUGAAAUGCAUAGAUAUCACGCAGAACUCCGAUUGCGAAGGCAGCAUACCGGAGCCCGACUGACGCUGAGGCACGAAAGCGUGGGGAUCGAACAGGAUUAGAUACCCCAGUAGUC